rnacentral:rRNA from 1 species
CAAUAGCGUAUAUUAAAGUUGUUGCAGUUAAAAAGCUCGUAGUUGGAUUUCUGGCAGGAGCGACCGGUCACACACUCUGUGUGUGAACUUGCGUUGUCUCUGGCCAUCCUUGGGAAGAUCCUGUUUGGCAUUAAGUUGUCGGGCAGGGGAUACCCAUCGUUUACUGUGAAAAAAUUAGAGUGUUUAAAGCAGGCUUAUGCCGUUGAAUAUAUUAGCAUGGAAUAAUAAGAUAGGACUUCGGAACUAUUUUGUUGGUUUGCGUUACGAAGUAAUGAUUAAUAGGGACAGUUGGGGGUAUUCGUAUUUCGUUGUCAGAGGUGAAAUUCUUGGAUUUCCGAAAGACGAACUACUGCGAAAGCAUUUACCAAGGAUGUCUUCAUUAA